rnacentral:rRNA from 1 species
ACGGAGGGGGCUAGCGUUGUUCGGAAUUACUGGGCGUAAAGCGCACGUAGACGGCUAUCUAAGUCGGGUGUGAAAGCCCCGGGCUCAACCUGGGAAUUGCAUUCGAGACUGAAUAGCUAGGGUACGGUAGAGGGAAGCGGAAUUUCCGGUGUAGCGGUGAAAUGCGUAGAUAUCGGAAGGAACAUCGGUGGCAAAAGCAGCUUCCUGGACCAGUACCGACGUUCAGGCACGAAAGCGUGGGGAGCAAACAGGA